GGGGAAUAUUGGGCAAUGGGGGAAACCCUGACCCAGCAACGCCGCGUGAAGGAAGAAGGUCUUCGGAUUGUAAACUUCUUUGAUCAGGGACGAAGAAAUGACUGUACCUGAAGAACAAGUCACGGCUAACUACGUGCCAGCAGCCGCGGUAAUACGUAGGUGGCAAGCGUUAUCCGGAUUUACUGGGUGUAAAGGGCGUGUAGGCGGGUCUGCAAGUCAGAUGUGAAAUCUCCGGGCUUAACUCGGAAGUGUCAUCUGAAACUACGGAUCUUGAGUACUGGAGAGGAUAGUGGAAUUCCUAGUGUAGCGGUAAAAUGCGUAGAUAUUAGGAGGAACACCAGUGGCGAAGGCGGCUAUCUGGACAGUAACUGACGCUGAGGCGCGAAAGCGUGGGGAGCAAAC
rnacentral:rRNA from 1 species